AAAAAGCCUAGAACUAGAGGGACAUGCAAUGUUAUUGAUUAGGAAUUAACUACAAGGUUACUCCUAAAAAGAUCAAUCUUAUAAAAACAACUAAUUAUGAUUAAAAAUCAAUUAAUUCUAAAAGAACUAAUUCCAACAAAUUAUUAAUUCUGUGAUUUUUUCAAUAAAAAUGGAAAUAUUGCUUACUGAAGUAUUUUUAUCAAAGAAAAAAAACUUAUAAAAAU
rnacentral:lncRNA from 1 species